UACGAAGGGGGCUAGCGUUGUUCGGAAUUACUGGGCGUAAAGCGCGCGCAGGCGGCUAUCUAAGUCAGUGGUGAAAGCCCGGAGCUCAACUCCGGAACUGCCAUUGAAACUGUUUAGCUUGAGGACGAGAGAGGUGAGUGGAAUUCCCAGUGUAGAGGUGAAAGUCGUAGAUAUUGGGAAGAACACCGGUGGCGAAGGCGAAUCUCUGGACAGUUACUGACGCUGAGGCGCGAAGGCCAGGGGAGCAAACGGG
rnacentral:rRNA from 1 species